rnacentral:rRNA from 1 species
UACGUAGGGCGCAAGCGUUGUCCGGAAUUAUUGGGCGUAAAGAGCUUGUAGGCGGUUUGUCGCGUCUGCUGUGAAAUUUCGGGGCUCAACCCCGAACUUGCAGUGGGUACGGGCAGACUAGAGUGCGGUAGGGGAGACUGGAAUUCCUGGUGUAGCGGUGAAAUGCGCAGAUAUCAGGAGGAACACCGAUGGCGAAGGCAGGUCUCUGGGCCACUACUGACGCUGAGAAGCGAAAGCAUGGGGAGCGAACAGG